rnacentral:lncRNA from 1 species
AGCCUCCUUGACUCGAUCCUUGAUCAACUCUUGAUCCCAUCGCCAUCAACCACUUGGAUCGCCGUUCAUCUCAUGCCUUGUCUUCAACUUGAUCGUUGACGUACAUCACAUCAUAGAAAUACAACCAGAUGUAAAAUAAAAAUAAUAAUAAAUUACAUCCCCUUUUAGGAGGCAUGCAGGCCUCUCAAAACAUCAAAUAAGAUGCAUGCAAGCAUCUGAAA